GGUCCCAUCGUCUAGUGGUAAGGACACCGGCCUCUCACGUCGGUAACACGGGUUCGAGUCCCGUUGGGACCA
rnacentral:tRNA from 1 species